GACGUAGGGCGCGAGCGUUGUCCGGAUUUAUUGGGCGUAAAGAGCUCGUAGGCGGCUUGUUGCGUCGGCUGUGAAAACCCGCAGCUCAACUGUGGGCUUGCAGCCGAUACGGGCAGGCUUGAGUUCGGUAGGGGAGACUGGAAUUCCUGGUGUAGCGGUGAAAUGCGCAGAUAUCAGGAAGAACACCCGUGGCUAAGGCGGUUCUCUAGUACGGUACUGACGCUGAGACGCGAAAGCGUGGGGAGCGAACAGG
rnacentral:rRNA from 1 species